rnacentral:lncRNA from 1 species
GCGCACUUGAGGACGACCUCCGGCGCACCAUGAGGACAUCGAGGCCGAGACUACAUCAUCUACUGAGAAAGCGGAAGUAAAGUCUAAGAAUGGAUAUAUGAAGAGCUUGGUCAACUUUGCAUUCAUUCUGUGCAAGACCCGCAAAAUCACCCUCAUCACCGUCAUUAUGUUCGUCGACUACCUGAUCGUGGCCAUGGUCUUCUACGGGCUUUUCCUCAGCGCCACGUCCUUCCCUCACACCCCCUC